rnacentral:rRNA from 1 species
GACGAACGCUGGCGGCGUGCCUAACACAUGCAAGUCGAGCGAGUGAAUCUCCUUCGGGAGUGAAGCUAGCGGCGGACGGGUGAGUAACACGUGGGCAACCUGCCUCAUAGAGGGGAAUAGCCUUUCGAAAGGACGAUUAAUACCGCAUAAGAUUGUAGCUUCGCAUGAAGUAGCAAUUAAAGGAGCAAUCCGCUAUGAGAUGGGCCCGCGGCGCAUUAGCUAGUUGGUGAGGUAACGGCUCACCAAGGCGACGAUGCGUAGCCGACCUGAGAGGGUGAUCGGCCACAUUGGGACUGGGACACGGCCCAGACUCCUACGGGAGGCAGCAGUGGGGAAUAUUGCACAAUGGGGGAAACCCUGAUGCAGCAACGCCGCGUGAGUGAUGACGGCCUUCGGGUUGUAAAGCUCUGUCUUCAGGGACGAUAAUGACGGUACCUGAGGAGGAAGCCACGGCUAACUUCGUGCCAGCCGCCGCAGUAA